rnacentral:rRNA from 1 species
UACAGAGGGGGCAAGCGUUAUUCGGAAUUAUUGGGCGUACAGGGCGCGUAGGCGGCGAUUCAAGUGACGGGUGAAAUCCCUCGGCUUAACCGAGGAACUGCCUGUCAGACUGGAUUGCUUGAGGCCGGGAGAGGCGAGUGGAAUUCCCAGUGUAGCGGUGAAAUGCGUAGAUAUUGGGAGGAACACCAGUGGCGAAGGCGGCUCGCUGGACCGGUUCUGACGCUGAGGCGCGAAAGCGUGGGGAGCAAACAGG